AUUGAACGCUGGCGGCAGGCCUAACACAUGCAAGUCGAACGAGUGGCGGACGGGUGAGUAAUGUCUGGGAAACUGCCCGAUGGAGGGGGAUAACUACUGGAAACGGUAGCUAAUACCGCAUACCAUCGGAUGUGCCCAGAUGGGAUUAGCUAGUAGGUGGGGUAACGGCUCACCUAGGCGACGAUCCCUAGCUGGUCUGAGAGGAUGACCAGCACAACUGGAACGGAUACACGGUGCAGUCUCCUACGGUAGUCAGCAGUGGGGAAUAUUGCACAAUGGGCGCAAGUCUGAUGCAGCCAUGCCGCGGGUAUGAAGAAGGCCUUCGGGUUGUAAAGUACUUUCAGCGAGGAGGCGUUACUCUCAGAAGAAGCACCGGCUAACUCCGUGCCAGCAGCCGCGGUGAUAC
rnacentral:rRNA from 1 species